CAUCGUCCUUUGCAUGCUGCUGGACACUUUCUGAAUCUUGAAUUUUUUUAUUCAAAUAAGAUGAGAAUUGAGUCUAAUGAAGAGGUCAAUACAUGAUUGCUUUCGUGCAUUCAUAAGAUGGUAAAAGAUUCAGCAGAAGUGGACAUGAUUCUUGGUGAAACUGAGAGAUACAAGGCACAGCUACGAGGACCUUUGGUUUUCCUUCUGCUA
rnacentral:misc_RNA from 1 species